rnacentral:rRNA from 1 species
AGUGAACGCUGGCGGUAGGCCUAACACAUGCAAGUCGAACGGCAGCACAGUAAGAGCUUGCUCUUACGGGUGGCGAGUGGCGGACGGGUGAGGAAUACAUCGGAAUCUACUUUUUCGUGGGGGAUAACGUAGGGAAACUUACGCUAAUACCGCAUACGACCUACGGGUGAAAUCAGGGGAUCUUCGGACCUUGCGCGAUUGAAUUAGCCGAUGUCGGAUUAGCUAGUUGGCGGGGUAAAGGCCCACCAAGGCGACGAUCCGUAGCUGAUCUGAGAGGAUGAUCAGCCACACUGGAACUGAGACACGGUCCAGACUCCUACGGGAGGCAGCAGUGGGGAAUAUUGGACAAUGGGCGCAAGCCUGAUCCAGCCAUACCGCGUGGGUGAAGAAGGCCUUCGGGUUGUAAAGCCCUUUUGUUGGGAAAGAAAAGCAGCAGGUUAAUACCCCGCUGUUCUGACGGUACCCAAAGAAUAAGCACCGGCUAACUUCGUG